rnacentral:piRNA from 1 species
UCGAUUAGGCUGAACCUGAGCACUUAGCCA